GGACGAGUUUUCCAACUUCUCUGCGUCCUUGCCAGGACUUAUUUCCUGUCGUUUUCAAGGCUCAGCAGGUGCCCUGAGCAGAUGAACCACCUGUGUUCCUUGUCUGUGACCAGUGUAAAGCUUAAAUAUGCGUAAAUCCAAGAUGAUGGAAUGGCAACUAGCAGUAUUAUUGGAAAAUGUAAAUGUUGGUGACACUGCAGAAAUACCAAGGAUGUGAC